AACUAACGCUGGCGGCGUGCCUAACACAUGCAAGUCGUACGAGAAAGCCGGCUUCGGCUGGUGAGUAAAGUGGCGCACGGGUGAGUAACGCGUGGAUAAUCUGCCCUUAAGUGUGGAAUAACGUACCGAAAGGUGCGCUAAUACCGCAUAAUGCCUGGCAACACAAGUUGUCCGGCCAAAGAAGGCCUCUGUUUACAAGCUUUCGCUUCAGGAUGAGUCCGCGUACCAUUAGCUUGUUGGUGGGGUAAUGGCCUACCAAGGCUGCGAUGGUUAGCUGGUCUGAGAGGAUGAUCAGCCACACUGGAGCUGAGACACGGUCCAGACUCCUACGGGAGGCAGCAGUGAGGAAUAUUGCGCAAUGGGGGCAACCCUGACGCAGCAACGCCGCGUGAGUGAGGAAGGUUUUCGGACUGUAAAGCUCUGUCGAGCGGGAAGAAGUGUACCAUGGCUAAUAUCCAUGAUAUUUGACGGUACCG
rnacentral:rRNA from 1 species